GAUGAACGCUGGCGGCGUGCCUAACACAUGCAAGUCGAACGGGAAUCUUCGGAUUCUAGUGGCGGACGGGUGAGUAACGCGUAAGAAUCUAACUUCAGGACGGGGACAACAGUUGGAAACGACUGCUAAUACCCGAUAUGCCGCAAGGUGAAACCUAAUUGGCCUGAAGAAGAGCUUGCGUCUGAUUAGCUAGUUGGUGGGGUAAAAGCCUACCAAGGCGACGAUCAGUAGCUGGUCUGAGAGGAUGAGCAGCCACACUGGGACUGAGACACGGCCCAGACUCCUACGGGAGGCAGCAGUGGGGAAUUUUCCGCAAUGGGCGAAAGCCUGACGGAGCAACGCCGCGUGAGGGAGGAAGGUCUUUGGAUUGUAAACCUCUUUUCUCAAGGAAGAAGUUCUGACGGUACUUGAGGAAUCAGCCUCGGCUAACUCCGUGCCAGCCGCCGCCGUAAGAC
rnacentral:rRNA from 1 species